rnacentral:rRNA from 1 species
CAGUAGCCACGGUAAUACGAAGGGGGCUAGCGUUGUUCGGAAUUACUGGGCGUAAAGCGCACGUAGGCGGAUAUUUAAGUCAGGGGUGAAAUCCCGCAGCUCAACUGCGGUACUGCCUUUGAUACUGGGUAUCUUGAGUAUGGAAGAGGUUAGUGGAAUUGCGAGUGUAGAGGUGAAAUUCGUAGAUAUUCGCAGGAACACCAGUGGCGAAGGCGGCUAACUGGUCCAUAACUGACGCUGAGGUGCGAAAGCGUGGGGAGCAAACAGGAUUAGAUACCCCUGUAGUCCCUGUCUCUUAUAC